GUUUCCUUUGACGCUCAGAACGGCUGCGUUCCGUAUGGCAUCCGCAAGCCUCGCGGAGUGCACGACGACGAGCGCGGCGACAGUCGUUCUCUUUUGCUUGUGAUCGUUUACCUGUCAAAAAAGAAUUUGAGGAGGUAAACGCUCACAAGGAAAGGGAACGACUUUCACCGCGCUCGUAGUCGCGCACCCCGCGAGGCUCCCAAGCGCCGUACGGCACGCAGUUAACGCUUGGAAAUUGUGUCAUUUGAAGUUCGCGUGUAACAUCGCCUCAAACCUUUCCCGCUUUCUUUUAAGGUUUUGUGUCAAACAAACCAAUUGUCACGAAAUUUGGUGAGAGCAUGAGGCUUACUAUUUCCUGUGAUUCAUCAACGGAAGGAAGUAAUUCAUCCAGGGAAUUUGGUGUAAGCGGACUAGUUGUUGGCAUAAUCAUUUUCGUAAUAGCGCCAUGUGAUCCAGUUCCUCCAACGAUUA